GCUCUCCCCCUGGAAACAAGCAAGACAUGAUUUCUGAGGACUCAGCUACACGCUUCUGAAUGCUGAAGUUAUGACACCCGGAAACACACACCAAGGGAGUACCUUGGAAAUCAUUAAUCUGGAAAGUCUUACGGAGGGACCUGGCUGCUGUUAAAGGAGGAGUCACACACAUUUGAACAUUCCAGGUUAAGGAAAAAAUGACU